CCCGCUGAACUUAAGCAUAUCAAUAAGCGGAGGAAAAGAAACUAACAAGGAUUCCCCUAGUAACUGCGAGUGAAGCGGGAAAAGCUCAAAUUUAAAAUCUGGUGGUCUUUGGCCAUUCGAGUUGUAAUUUAGAGAAGCGUCUUCCGCGCUGGACCGUGCACAAGUCUCCUGGAAUGGAGCGUCAUAGAGGGUGAGAAUCCCGUCUUUGGCAUGGACACACCAGGGCUUUUGUGAUGCGCUCUCGAAGAGUCGAGUUGUUUGGGAAUGCAGCUCAAAAUGGGUGGUGAACUCCAUCUAAAGCUAAAUAUUGGCGAGAGACCGAUAGCGAACAAGUACCGUGAGGGAAAGAUGAAAAGCACUUUGGAAAGAGAGUGAAACAGUACGUGAAAUUGUUGAAAGGGAAACGCUUGAAGUCAGUCACGUCGACCGAGACUCAGCCUUGCCUCGGCUUGGUGUACUUCUCGGCUGACGGGUCAGCAUCAAUUUUGCCCCUUGGAUAAUGGCGAGGGAAAUGUGACACCUUUAUGGUGUGUUAUAGUCUCUUGUCGCAUGCAAGGGUUGGGAUUGAGGAACUCAGCACGCGCCUUUGGGUGUCGGGGUCUUUGCCCACGAUACGUGCUUAGGAUGUUGGCAUAAUGGCUUUAAACGACCCGUCUUGAAACACGG
rnacentral:rRNA from 1 species